AACAGCUCAAAUUUGAAAUCUGGCCUCACGGUCCGAGUUGUAAUUUGUAGAGGAUGCUUCGAGCAUGGUCUGGCCUAAGUUCCUUGGAACAGGACGUCAUAGAGGGUGAGAAUCCCGUAUGCGGCCAGGUGCCUACGCUCAUGUGAAGCUCCUUCGACGAGUCGAGUUGUUUGGGAAUGCAGCUCAAAAUGGGUGGUAAAUUUCAUCUAAAGCUAAAUAUUGGCCAGAGACCGAUAGCGCACAAGUAGAGUGAUCGAAAGAUGAAAAGCACUUUGGAAAGAGAGUUAAACAGUACGUGAAAUUGUUGAAAGGGAAGCGCUUGCAACCAGACUUGCGCGCGGCCGAUCAUCCGGUGUUCUCACCGGUGCACUCGGCCGUGCUCAGGCCAGCAUCGGUUUUGGCGGCUGGAUAAAGGCCCUAGGAAUGUAGCUCCUCUCGGGGAGUGUUAUAGCCUAGGGUGCAAUGCAGCCUGCUGGGACCGAGGACCGCGCUUCGGCUAGGAUGCUGGCGUAAUGGUUGUAAGCGGCCCGUCUUGAAACACGGACCAAGGAGUCUAACAUCUAUGCGAGUGUUUGGGUGUCAAACCCAUACGCGUAAUGAAAGUGAACGGAGGUGAGAACCCUUAAGGGUGCAUCAUCGACCGGUCCUGAAGUUUACGGAAGGAUCUGAGUAAGAGCAUAGCUGUUGGGACCCGAAAGAUGGUGAACUAUGCCUGAAUAGGGUGAAGCCAGAGGAAACUCUGGUGGAGGCUCGCAGCGGUUCUGACGUGCAAAUCGAUCGUCAAAUUUGGGUAUAGGGGCG
rnacentral:rRNA from 2 species